rnacentral:snRNA from 8 species
CGACUCUGGUUUGUUUCUCUUCAUUACGCACAACCCUUUCACCUUUUACUAAAAACUUCCGUGGAGAAGAACACUUACGAGUUCAACGUAUUUUUGGAAGGGCUUUGCUUCUGGCAGACC